rnacentral:rRNA from 1 species
CUUUUUGAGUUUAUUAUUCUAAAAGCACCAGAUCUUUUCUGAUCUUGGAAACUAAGCAGGAUUAGUUCUGGUUAGCACUUGUAUGGAGACUGUCUAUGAAUACCAGACAUUUAAGGC